rnacentral:rRNA from 1 species
GAUGAACGCUGGCGGCGUGCCUAACACAUGCAAGUCGAACGCUCGCAAGAGAGUGGCGCACGGGUGAGUAACACGUAGCUAAUCUGCCCUCAAGACAAGGAUAACUGUAGGAAACUACUGCUAAUACUUGAUAAGCUUACGGACUGUAGAGGUCUAUAAGAAAGAUUUAUCGCUUGAGGAUGAGGCUGCGCGCCAUCAGCUAGUUGGUAAGGUAAUGGCUUACCAAGGCGACGACGGCUAGGGGACCUGAGAGGGUGACCCCCA